rnacentral:rRNA from 1 species
UACGUAGGGUGCGAGCGUUGUCCGGAAUUAUUGGGCGUAAAGAGCUCGUAGGCGGUUUGUUGCGUCGGCCGUGAAAACUUGGGGCUUAACUCCAAGCGUGCGGGCGAUACGGGCAGACUUGAGUACUACAGGGGAGACUGGAAUUCCUGGUGUAGCGGUGAAAUGCGCAGAUAUCAGGAGGAACACCGGUGGCGAAGGCGGGUCUCUGGGUAGUAACUGACGCUGAGGAACGAAAGCGUGGGGAGCAAACAGG